UACGGUGGGGGCAAGCGUUGUUCGGAAUUACUGGGCGUAAAGGGCGCGUAGGCGGCCUUCUAAGUCAGACGUGAAAUCCCUCGGCUCAACCGAGGAACUGCGUCUGAUACUGGAAGGCUUGAAUCCGGGAGAGGGAUGUGGAAUUCCAGGUGUAGCGGUGAAAUUCGUAGAUAUCGGGAGGAACACCGGUGGCGAAGGCGGCGAUCUGGGUCGAUACUGACGCUGAGGUGCGAAAGCGUGGGGAGCAAACAGG
rnacentral:rRNA from 1 species